GCAUGGUCAUUCUUAGUUAAUGGAGCGAUUUGUCUGGUUAAUUCCUAACGAACGAGACUCUAGCCUAUUAAAUAGGUGCGUGGUUCUCUGCACCUCGCACCCUUUUUACAGGAACAAGCGGCUCCUAGCCGCAUGAAACAGAGCAAUAACAGAUCUGUGAU
rnacentral:rRNA from 1 species